rnacentral:rRNA from 1 species
AGCGAACGUUUGCGGCGGGCCUAACACAUGCAAGUCGAACGCACUAGCAAUAGUGAGUGGCGCACGGGUGCGUAACACGUGGGUAAUCAACCCUUCAGCUUGGGAUAACGACUUGAAAGGGUCGCUAAUACCGGAUACGGCGCGGGAGGCUUCGGCUUCUCACGAGAAAGCCUCGCAAGGGGCACUGAAGGACGAGCCUGCGGCCCAUCAGCUAGUUGGUGAGGUAAGAGCUCACCAAGGCGAAGACGGGUAGCUGGUCUGAGAGGAUGAUCAGCCACACUGGAACUGAGACACGGUCCAGACUCCUACGGGAGGCAGCAGUGGGGAAUAUUGCGCAAUGGGCGAAAGCCUGACGCAGCCACGCCGCGUGAGCGAUGAAGGCCUUC